GAUGAACGCUGGCGGCGUGCCUAAUACAUGCAAGUCGAGCGAACCACUUCGGUGGUGAGCGGCGAACGGGUGAGUAACACGUAGGUGAUCUGCCCAUCAGACGGGGACAACGAUUGGAAACGAUCGCUAAUACCGGAUAGGACGAAAGUUUAAAGGUGCUUCUGGCACCGCUGAUGGAUGAGCCUGCGGCGCAUUAGCUAGUUGGUAGGGUAAAGGCCUACCAAGGCGACGAUGCGUAGCCGACCUGAGAGGGUGAACGGCCACACUGGGACUGAGACACGGCCCAGACUCCUACGGGAGGCAGCAGUAGGGAAUCUUCGGCAAUGGGCGAAAGCCUGACCGAGCAACGCCGCGUGAAUGAUGAAGGCCUUC
rnacentral:rRNA from 1 species